rnacentral:rRNA from 1 species
UACGUAGGGGGCAAGCGUUGUCCGGAAUCAUUGGGCGUAAAGAGCGCGUAGGCGGCCCAGUAAGUCCGCUCUGAAAGUCAGGGGCUCAACCCCUGAAUGCGGGUGGAUACUGCUGGGCUAGAGUCCGGAAGAGGCGAGUGGAAUUCCUGGUGUAGCGGUGAAAUGCGUAGAUAUCAGGAGGAACACCGAUGGCGAAGGCAGGUCUCUGGGCUAACACUGACGCUCAUGCACGAAAGCGUGGGGAGCAAACAGG